rnacentral:lncRNA from 1 species
AAGAUGAUCACUGGUGACCAGCUCGCCAUCGGUAAGGAAACUGCCCGUAGGCUUGGCAUGGGAACCAACAUGUAUCCUUCUUCAGCUCUUCUUGGAGAGCACAAAGAUGCAGCCAUUGCUUCAAUUCCUGUCGAUGAGCUCAUUGAAAAGGCAGAUGGUUUUGCCGGAGUCUUCCCAGGUAAAUAUUAGUAGUACUAUCAUUGAACUACAACAUAGAAAAGUUUAGGCAAAAGAACUAACAUAAAAAGGUUUGAUUUUGUGUAGAGCAUAAAUAUGAGAUUGUGAAGAAGCUCCAAGAAAGAAACCAUAUCUGCGGUAUGACAGGAGAUGGAGUGAACGACGCACCAGCACUAAAGAAGGCAGACAUUGGUAUAGCUGUGGAUGAUGCAACAGACGCUGCCAGGAGCGCAUCUGAUAUCGUCUUGACUGAACCAGGUCUUAGUGUUAUCGUGAGUGCUGUGUUGACGAGCAGAGCCAUCUUCCAGAGGAUGAAGAACUACACCAUCUAUGCAGUUUCCAUCACAAUCCGUGUUGUUAUGGGAUUCAUGCUCAUUGCCCUUAUCUGGAAGUUCGACUUCUCGCCAUUCAUGGUCCUUAUCAUUGCCAUACUCAAUGAUGGAACUAUCAUGACCAUCUCUAAGGACAGGGUGAAACCAUCUCCAUUGCCCGAUUCGUGGAAACUCAAAGAAAUCUUUGCCACUGGUGUUGUCCUCGGAACCUACCAAGCGAUCAUGACUGUUGUGUUCUUCUACCUUGCAGCUGACACUGAUUUCUUCUCUGUAUGUUAUUCUCCCCCUAAACUUAAACAAAAAAUGAAAACAUAACAUGAAAUAAACUAACAAAUUUUAUCAUAUAUGUGCAGGAAAACUUCCAUGUUAGAUCAAUCAGAAACUCUCCAACUGAGCUUACAGCUGCACUAUACCUUCAAGUGAGCAUUAUUAGUCAAGCUCUCAUCUUUGUGACCAGAUCAAGAAGUUGGUCAUUCGUUGAACGCCCUGGCCUUAUGCUUGUCGGUGCUUUCUUUGCCGCUCAAUUGGUAAGGAUCUUGAAAAAUGAAUUACUUGACUUGGUUUUCAAUGUGUUGUUCUAUCGGAAACAACCUCUCUACCUUCUCGAAGGUAGGGGUAAGGUCUACGUACACCCCCCGACUCUACAUUAUGGGAUUACAGUGGGUUUGUUGUUGUUGGUUUUCAAUAUGUGGCUACCUGAAAUUCAUAAUUUUCUCCCAUUUUUUCCAGGUUGCUACCGUGCUCGCUGUAUAUGCAAACUGGGAAUUUGCCAGGAUCAAGGGAGUUGGUUGGGGAUGGGCAGCAGUUAUCUGGAUCUACACAAUUAUUACCUAUAUCCCUCUUGAUAUUCUUAAAUUCAUCAUCCGUUUCGCUUUAAGUGGAAGGGCAUGGGAUUCAAUGAUCCAGAACAAGGUAAAAGCAAGCACACAAAUUGCCAUAACAUGAACAUUUUACAUUGAAUUCUAUUCUUGACUAAUUAGUAAUAUCAUUUCUUGAAUAUAUCAGACUGCCUUCACAACCAAGAAAGACUAUGGAAGGGGUGAAAGGGAAGCACAAUGGGCUUUAGCUCAACGUACACUUCACGGUCUGCAGACACCUGAAAACACUGGCCUAUUCAAUGACAAGAACUACAGGGAACUAUCCGAGAUUGCUGAGCAGGCUAAACGUCGUGCUGAAGUUGCAAGGUAUAUGAACAAUAUCAUAGAUGUUAUAGUAAAAAGGGCAGCCUAUUGCACAAAGCGUUCUGCAUUCACGCAACGUCCAGGGAAGGGCCUCACCCCAAGAGGGUGAUGUAGGCAGCCUAAUGCAAGUAUUAGUGGCUGAUUCCAAGGCUUGAACCCUUGACCUAUAGGUCACACGGAGACAACUUGACCGUUGCUCCAAGGGCAGCCCAGUGCACAAAGCAUCCCACAUUCACGAAGGGUCCAGGGAAGAGCCGCACCCCCAAAAGGGUGUGAUGUAGGCAGCCUAAUGCAAGCAUUAGUGGCUGAUUACAUGGCUCGAACCCGUGAUCUAUAGGUCACACGGAGACAACUUGACCGUUGCUCCAAGGACAGCCUGGUGCACAAAGCAUCCCACAUUCACGAAGGGCCACACCCAAAGAGGUGUGAUGUAGGCAGCCUAAUACAAGUAGUAGUGGCUGAUUCCACGGCUCGAACCAGUGACAUAUACAGAGACAAUUGAUUGUCGCUCCAAGAACCGAUAGAUGUUAAAUUACUAUGAUAAAUUGUUUUGAGUGCCACAAUCUAUACUUACAAGAACUAUGUUAUUGCAGGUUGAGAGAGCUACACACUCUAAAGGGACAUGUUGAAUCAGUGGUCAAGCUAAAGGGACUAGAUAUUGAAACCAUCCAACAACACUAUACUGUCUAAAGAAGCUGCAAAUCAAAUCAACUUUCAUUUUUUCCCAUAUAAGGAAGGACAUUUUUCAGCUGGCACUAUGUUGGAUGAGGAUAUUGUUUGGUUGAAGAACAAGGGCUAGCUGUGUAUUUAAAAAAAAUCUUGAGUAUUGAUAGUUAUCUAUAGAAGAAAAUAAAAAAUAAAAAAUUGUAAGUAGUAGUUACUUUUUAUCUUUAUUGUUAUUUAUCCUAUCUAUACAAUGUAUGUUAUCU